UUUUGUUGGAAUAUAUGGAUGAGGGUUAGGAUUGGCUCUUUGAAGGUGGAUUUGUGAGUAAUUAUUUUAUAGUAUUAAUAAAUGAAGGGUGGAAUAACAUGUGUACAUAUUGCCCGUCGCUCUCGUUAUUUUUGAGAUAAGUCGUAACAUAGUUGAUGAACUGGAAAGUGUAUCUUUUUGA
rnacentral:rRNA from 1 species